rnacentral:rRNA from 1 species
UAAGUUCCGACCCGCACGAAAGGCGUAACGAUUUGGGCACUGUCUCAACGAGAGACUCGGUGAAAUCAUAGUACCUGUGAAGAUGCAGGUUACCCGCGACAGGACGGAAAGACCCCGUGGAGCUUUACUGUAGCCUGAUAUUGAAAUUCGGCACAGCUUGUACAGGAUAGGUAGGAGCCUUUGAAACGUGAGCGCUAGCUUACGUGGAGGCGCUGGUGGGAUACUACCCUAGCUGUGUUGGCUUUCUAACCCGCACCACUUAUCGUGGUGGGAGACAGUGUCAGGCGGGCAGUUUGACUGGGGCGGUCGCCUCCUAAAAGGUAACGGAGGCGCUCAAAGGUUCCCUCAGAAUGGUUGGAAAUCAUUCAUAGAGUGUAAAGGCAUAAGGGAGCUUGACUGCGAGACCUACAAGUCGAGCAGGGUCGAAAGACGGACUUAGUGAUCCGGUGGUUCCGCAUGGAAGGGCCAUCGCUCAACGGAUAAAAGCUACCCCGGGGAUAACAGGCUUAUCUCCCCCAAGAGUUCACAUCGACGGGGAGGUUUGGCACCUCGAUGUCGGCUCAUCGCAUCCUGGGGCUGUAGUCGGUCCCAAGGGUUGGGCUGUUCGCCCAUUAAAGCGGUACGCGAGCUGGGUUCAGAACGUCGUGAGACAGUUCGGUCCCUAUCCGUCGUGGGCGUAGGAAAUUUGAGAGGAGCUGUCCUUAGUACGAGAGGACCGGGAUGGACAUACCUCUGGUGUACCAGUUGUCGUGCCAACGGCAUAGCUGGGUAGCUAUGUAUGGACGGGAUAAGUGCUGAAAGCAUCUAAGCAUGAAGCCCCCCUCAAGAUGAGAUUUCCCAACUUCGGUUAUAAGAUCCCUCAAAGAUGAUGAGGUUAAUAGGUUCGAGGUGGAAGCGUGGUGACACGUGGAGCUGACGAAUACUAAUCGAUCGAAGACUUAAUCAAUUU